rnacentral:rRNA from 1 species
UAAUUGAAGAGUUUGAUCAUGGCUCAGAUUGAACGCUGGCGGCAGGCCUAACACAUGCAAGUCGAGCGGUAACAGGGGAAGCUUGCUUCUCGCUG